CAUGUACUCCCUCCGUUUGGAAUUACUUGUCUCGGAAAUGAAUGUAUUUAGAACUAAAAUACGUAUAGAUACAUGCAUUUCUGCGACAAGUAAUUUCGAACAGAGGGAGUACAAU
rnacentral:pre_miRNA from 1 species